GCUGGGCAUGGUGGCGUGUGCCUGUAGUCCCAGCUACCCUGGAGGCUGAGGCAGGAGAAUCACUUGAACCCAGGAGGCAGAGGUUGCAGUGAGCUGAGAUCGUGCCACUGCACUCCAGCCUGGGUGACAGAGUGAUACUCUGCCUCAA
ensembl:misc_RNA Metazoa_SRP Metazoan signal recognition particle RNA